CCUACGGGGGGCUGCAGUGGGGAAUAUUGGACAAUGGGGGGAACCCUGAUCCAGCCAUGCCGCGUGUGUGAAGAAGGCCCUCGGGUUGUAAAGCACUUUCAGUGAGGAAGAACGCCUGGUGGUUAAUACCCAUCAGGAAAGACAUCACUCACAGAAGAAGCACCGGCUAACUCCGUGCCAGCAGCCGCGGUAAUACGGAGGGUGCGAGCGUUAAUCGGAAUUACUGGGCGUAAAGCGCGCGUAGGUGGCUUGAUAAGCCGGUUGUGAAAGCCCCGGGCUCAACCUGGGAACGGCAUCCGGAACUGUCAAGCUAGAGUGCAGGAGAGGAAGGUAGAAUUCCCGGUGUAGCGGUGAAAUGCGUAGAGAUUGGGAGGAAUACCAGUGGCGAAGGCGGCCUUCUGGACUGACACUGACACUGAGGUGCGAAAGCGUGGGUAGCAAACAGGAUUAGAUACCCGAGUAGUC
rnacentral:rRNA from 1 species